CAAAUGGCUUCAUUACCAUAUUUCAUCAGUUGUUCCAGUCCUCCUCAUCCCGAUUCCACCUUGUUUCGAGCUCCUAUCAAUGGCGGAAGAGUCCGCGCCUGUCUUAGCGUAGAGCUACAAGGACCCCGUUCGACGAAGCUUCGAAAAGGGGAACUGGGUUGCUCGAGCGAGGAAGUGAUCGAUUCAGAAAGGAAGCUUUUCGUCGGAACCUACGCUCGAGCGCCGGUGGUUCUCUCGAGCGGUAAAGGAUGUAAACUGUACGAUCUCGAAGGGCGAGAGUAUUUAGAUAUGGCGGCCGGAAUCGCCGUCAAUUCCCUAGGUCAUGGUGAUCCCGAUUGGCUACAAGCAGUAACAGAGCAGGCGGGCCUGCCGGAGUUCGAGAUUCCAGGAG
rnacentral:misc_RNA from 1 species